rnacentral:rRNA from 1 species
GACGAACGCUGGCGGCGUGCCUAAUACAUGCAAGUCGAGCGAAUGACGAGAAGCUUGCUUCUCUGAUUUAGCGGCGGACGGGUGAGUAACACGUGGGCAACCUGCCCUACAGAUCGGGAUAACUCAGGGAAACCUGGGCUAAUACCGGAUAAUCCUUCGAAUCACAUGUUUUGAAGUUGAAAGGCGCUUCGGCGUCACUGUAGGAUGGGCCCGCGGUGCAUUAGCUAGUUGGGGGGGUAACGGCCUACCAAGGCAACGAUGCAUAGCCGACCUGAGAGGGUGAUCGGCCACAUUGGGACUGAGACACGGCCCAAACUCCUACGGGAGGCAGCAGUAGGGAAUCUUCCACAAUGGACGAAAGUCUGAUGGAGCAACGCCGCGUGAGUGAUGAAGGUUUUCGGAUUGCAAAACUCUGUUGUAAGGGAAGAACAAGUACGUUAGGAAAUGAACGUACCUUGACGGUACCUUAUUAGAAAGCCACGGCUAACUACGUGCCAGCAGCCGCCGUAA